rnacentral:rRNA from 1 species
UAACCUUGGGAAACUGAGAAUAAUGCCCGACAGAACAUUAUACCUGGAACGGUUUAUGUUUCAAAUGAUUUAUCGCCGUAGGAUGGGACUGCGGCCUAUCAGUUUGUUGGUGAGGUAAUGGCCCACCAAGACUAUUGCAGGUACGGGCUCUGAGAGGAGUAGCCCGGAGAUGGGUACUGAGACACGGACCCAGGCCCUAUGGGGCGCAGCAGGCGAGAAAACUUUGCAAUGUGCGAAAGCACGACAAGGUUAAUCCGAGUGGUUUCUGCUAAAGAAACCUUUUGCUAGUCCUAGAAACACUAGUGAAUAAGGGGUGGGCAAGCUCUGGUGUCAGCCGCCGCGGUAAAACCAGCACCUCAAGUGGUCAGGAUGAUUAUUGGGCCUAAAGCAUCCGUAGCUCGUUUUGUAAGUUUUCGGUUAAAUCCAUACGCUCAACGUAUGGGCUGCCGGGAAUACUGCAUAACUAGGAAGUGGGAGAGGUAGACGGUACUCGGUAGGAAGGGGUAAAAUCCUUUGAUCUAUUGAUGACCACCUGUGGCGAAGGCGGUCUACCAGAACACGUUCGACGGUGAGGGAUGAAAGCUGGGGGAGCAAACCGGAUUAGAUACCCGGGUAGUCCCAGCUGUAAACUAUGCAAACUCAGUGAUGCAUUGGCUUGUGGCCAAUGCAGUGCUGCAGGGAAGCCGUUAAGUUUGCCGCCUGGGAAGUACGUACGCAAGUAUGAAACUUAAAGGAAUUGGCGGGGGAGCACCACAAGGGGUGAAGCCUGCGGUUC